UACGUAGGGUGCGAGCGUUGUCCGGAAUUAUUGGGCGUAAAGGGCUCGUAGGCGGUUUGUCGCGUCGGGAGUGAAAUCCACUGGCUUAACUGGUGGCUUGCUUUCGAUACGGGCAGACUGGAGGUAUGCAGGGGAGAACGGAAUUCCUGGUGUAGCGGUGGAAUGCGCAGAUAUCAGGAGGAACACCUAUGGCGAAGGCAGCUCUCUGGUACGACACUGACGCUGAGACGCGAAAGCGUGGGGAGCGAACAGG
rnacentral:rRNA from 1 species